UAUGUUAUAUUUAUUACAAUAGUAGAAUUUAGUAAUAAAAUUUAUUUGGACAUACAUACGUAUAUAUAUUUCUUAAAUUAUCGCCAUAAAUGAAUAAGGAAAUGAUAAAAAAGUGAGCCGAAAAGUGCGCACUACGAAUUACCGCCUCUACGUUCAGAGUUUGUACCGGCCAUAAAGAUAUAAAGAUAUAAUACACAAAUCAUAUCAUACAUAUAUUACCGUGUAAGUGGAUACGAUAUGACAAUAGAAAGACAACGCUGCAUAGAGACCCUUUCCCGCAGCCCUUGUCUAAUCAGGAAUGCAGAGUAAACCGUUCGCCGAUAACCGAUCGGUGUACACAUACAUAUUUAUUGUGUGCAUGUCAUGUGUUAUUAGACAAGGACACAAGGAGCCUCAAUAUUCGUAAGAGAGCUUGAGGAAAUUGUUGAAGCUGCAGGAUACGAUGAAAAUAAAUUUAGAAGUUAAUACAAGUGACACGUAUACAAAACAGGCUUAUGAAAUAUCGGGUGCCUCCUACUUCUCUAUUUGCAUUGAUUUAUAUUUCUCAUAUGUUUUGUAUAAUAUAACAAUAGAAAAUAAAAAUGAUGGGUAGCAUGUAAUUUAUACUAAAUAUCAAUAAAAGUCCUAGUACUUACGGCUAGCAGUGUGUUUGCUUUAGCCGUGCUCCGUGUCAUGUACACAUUUCUCCUCCGCUACUCAUCGAUGCUACCACUAUUUUUCAAUUGUUUUACUUGUCAAUUGUCAGUUUAAAUUUGUUACGAAUAGUGAUGUGCUUAUACACAACAGAAACUGAACAAUUUAUUGAGAUUAUCAGAAAAUAUCCAUGUGUAUGGAAUAAAGAAGCAACGGUGUACAAAGACAAUGAAUUAAAAGGAAAGUCCUGGGAACAAAUUGCAGCAAAACAUGGAUUGCAGAAUGGUUUGUAUAUUCAACCCUUUUGUAACACAGUGCAAAAAUUCUGAAAAUCCUCCUAUAACGCGAUAUUGUUGUAACAUUGUUUCUAUAUAGCAAGAUUUAAUAAAUUUGGACAACUCUCUGAGUUGUACUAACCAACUGUGUUAUGGGAAGCUUGAUGACUGUAUUUUACAAUUUAUACAGUAAUUAUACCAUGAUCUAAAACUGUA